CAUGUACCAGUUUUUGCUUAUUGAUAUUCUGAUU
rnacentral:misc_RNA from 1 species